rnacentral:rRNA from 1 species
ACGGGUGAGUAACACGUGGAACGUGCCCUUCGGUUCGGAAUAACUCAGGGAAACUUGAGCUAAUACCGGAUACGCCCUUAUGGGGAAAGGUUUACUGCCGAAGGAUCGGCCCGCGUCUGAUUAGCUUGUUGGUGGGGUAACGGCCUACCAAGGCGACGAUCAGUAGCUGGUCUGAGAGGAUGAUCAGCCACACUGGGACUGAGACACGGCCCAGACUCCUACGGGAGGCAGCAGUGGGGAAUAUUGGACAAUGGGCGCAAGCCUGAUCCAGCCAUGCCGCGUGAGUGAUGAAGGCCUUAGGGUUGUAAAGCUCUUUUGACCGGGACGAUAAUGACGGUACCGGAAGAAUAAGCCCCGGCUAACUUCGUGCCAGCAGCCGCGGUAAUACGAAGGGGGCUAGCGUUGCUCGGAAUCACUGGGCGUAAAGGGCGCGUAGGCGGCCGAUUAAGUCGGGGGUGAAAGCCUGUGGCUCAACCACAGAAUUGCCUUCGAUACUGGUUGGCUUGAGACCGGAAGAGGACAGCGGAACUGCGAGUGUAGAGGUGAAAUUCGUAGA